CUUCUGUCACUACCCAGGUCUGGGCCCAGAAGCCCUGGGCUGCAGGUUCCUUGGCCAGUGAAAGGGACCCACACAAGUCACAAUGCAGCCUGUGGAGGUUUGGGGUGAAAGUGGAGAAACACUCAGCUGUCCUGACAAGGUUGUAUAGUUGCUGUUACUGGCUGAAAGGACUUCCAGGUGUUUUCGAUGUUGCGAAUAUCUUCCCGGAUUCUGUCGCGUGUCUUCUAAUAUAUCCCUG